GGUCUGAAACAGCUCUGUUGCCUAGGUUGGAGUGCACUGAGCAUGGCUCACUACAGCUUGAACCUCCAGGGUUCAAGCAAUCCUCCUCCCUGAGCCUCCUGAUUAGCUGGGACCAGAGGCGUGCACCACCAUGCUCAGCCAGUUUUUAAAUUUUGUUUUGUAGAGACAGGAUCUCUCCAUGUUGCCUAGGCUGGUCGCAAGCUCCUGGGCUCAAGCAAUCUUCCCCCGUCGGCCUCCCAAAUUGCUAGGAUUAUAAACAUUAGCCACUGCACCCAGCUUCAAAUGGUUCUAAAAUUGUGUUAUUUUAAGAAGUUAGCUUUGUCCAUUUGAUAUGACCCCUAAAAAGUAUUCUAUUGGAAUUAAAGAUGUACUUCUGAACAUUAGUAAGUAUAUAUUUUCUGAAUAUCUUCCUUAUUUAUUUUUCUAAAAUUUAUCUAAACUUCAGUGAAAAAUUCAUUAAUUCUGGACAGCAAAGUUGUUCAGAAAAUUCCAUCAAAAUAAAAAUGGAGACACUUUCUUUUGAUCUUAUCUGAAAAUAGUAUCUCUCUACUUCUACAGGUCAGUCACCCCCAAUUGACACAGUAAUUACCAUCUUUGACUGUUGAUUCAGAGACACAAGGAAUCCAAAGUGGCCAGUUGUUCAUGUGACAAAGAUCCAAAAGCAAUUGCAACAAAAGCAAAAAUGGACAAAAGGGACCUCAUUAAACUAAAGAGCUUCUGCACGGCAAAAGAAACUAUCAACAGAGUAAAAAGACAACUUACUAAAUGGGAGAAAAUGUUUGCAAACUAUGCAUCUGACAAAGAUUUAAUAUUCAGAAUCUAUAAGGAAUGUAAACAACGUAACAAGCAAAAUACAAACAAUCCCAUAAAAACAUGGGCAAAGGACAUGAACAGACACUUUCAAAAGAAGACAUACACACAGCCAACAAGCAUAUGAAAAAAUGCUCAACAUCACUGAUCAUUACAGAAAUGCAUAUCAACACCAUAAUGAGAUACUAUCUCAAACUAGUCAGAGAGACUAUCAUUAAAAAGCCAAAAAUUAACAGAUACUGGCAAAGUUACCAAGAAAAGGGGGUGCUUAUACAAUGCUGGUGGGAACAUAAAUUAGUUCAGCCAUUGUGGAAAGCAGUGUGACAAUUUCUUAAGGAAUUUAAACAGAAUUACCAUUCAACCCAGCAAUCCCAUUAUUGGGUAUAUACCUGAAGGAAUAUAAAUCAUUUUAUCAUAAAGACACAUGCACAUCUAUGUUCAGCACAGCACUAUUCACAAUAGCAAAGACAUGGAAUCAACCUAAAUGCUAAUCAAUGGUAGACUAGAUAAAGAAAAUGUAAUACAUAUACAACAUGGAAUACUAUGCACUCAUAAAAAAGAUUGAGAUCAUGUCCUUUGCGGUAGUAAUACGGUUGGAGAUAGAGGCCAUUAUCCUAGAAUUAUCCUAUCCUAAUCAUAUCCUCCUGUGAAUUAACACAGGAGCAGAAAACCAUAUAUGCAUGUUCUUACUAAAAAGUGAAAGAUAAACAUUGAGUACAAUUGGACAAAAAGAAGACAACAAUAGACAAUAUGCCUCAGGGCAUACUUGAGAGUGGAGGGUGUGGAUUGAAAAAUUACCUAUUGGGCACUAUGCUUAUUACUUGGGUGAUGAAAUAAUCUGUACACUGAACCCCUGUGACAUACAAUUUAUCUGUAUAACAAAUAUGCACAUGUACACCUGAAUCUAAAAUAAAAGUUAAAGAAAAGAAGUAGAAUUAUCUUAUACGUAUCCUAAAUGUAUGCUUGUUUGCAAAUAAUUUAAUGUAAUUUUUAUCUAUUUUAAUUUUUAAUGUUAAUGUUUUAUAUUUAAACAUCUAGUCCACACAUAAAAUUGCAUUCAUGUAUAAUAUUUUUAAUAAUGUAAAUGCAAAAGGUGUGUGAUUUAUUUUAAGAAAGACGUUGUAUUAUCAUUACCGUGUGUGCAUCAGAGAAUGGAUUAAGAAUAAUGCCAUUUUCUAUAUAGAUGUUUAAUACAUAACAUACAGA
rnacentral:lncRNA from 1 species